rnacentral:rRNA from 1 species
CUGAUAUGAAGAGCUUGCUCGGAUUUGAAGAUGAACAUUGCAAAGAGUGGCGAACGGGUGAGUAACACGUGGGAAACCUACCUCUUAGCGGGGGAUAACACUUGGAAACAAGUGCUAAUACCGCAUAAUACUGAUAACCGCAUGGUUAUCAGUUGAAAGAUGGUUCUGCUAUCACUAAGAGAUGGUCCCGCGGUGUAUUAGCUAGUUGGUAAGGUAAUGGCUUACCAAGGCAAUGAUACAUAGCCGAGUUGAGAGACUGAUCGGCCACAAUGGGACUGAGACACGGCCCAUACUCCUACGGGAGGCAGCAGUAGGGAAUCUUCCACAAUGGACGAAAGUCUGAUGGAGCAACGCCGCGUGUGUGAUGAAGGGUUUCGGCUCGUAAAACACUGUUGUAAGAGAAGAAUGACAUUGAGAGUAACUGUUCAGUGUGUGACGGUAUCUUACCAGAAAGGAACGGCUAAAUACGUGCCAGCAGCCGCGGUAAUACGUAUGUUCCAAGCGUUAUCCGGAUUUAUUGGGCGUAAAGCGAGCGCAGACGGUUGUUUAAGUCUGAAGUGAAAGCCCACAGCUUAACUGUGGAAGUGCUUUGGAAACUGGAUAACUUGAGUGCAGUAGAGGAGAGUGGAACUCCAUGGGUUAGCG